GAUGAACGCUGGCGGCGUGCCUAAUACAUGCAAGUCGAGCGAACGGACGAGAAGCUUGCUUCUCUGAUGUUAGCGGCGGACGGGUGAGUAACACGUGGAUAACCUACCUAUAAGACUGGGAUAACUUCGGGAAACCGGAGCUAAUACCGGAUAAUAUUUUGAACCGCAUGGUUCAUAAGUGAAAGACGGUCUUGCUGUCACUUAUAGAUGGAUCCGCGCUGCAUUAGCUAGUUGGUAAGGUAACGGCUUACCAAGGCAACGAUGCAUAGCCGACCUGAGAGGGUGAUCGGCCACACUGGAACUGAGACACGGUCCAGACUCCUACGGGAGGCAGCAGUAGGGAAUCUUCCGCAAUGGGCGAAAGCCUGACGGAGCAACGCCGCGUGAGUGAUGAAGGUCUUCGGAUCGUAAAACUCUGUUAUUAGGGAAGAACAUAUGUGUAAGUAACUGUGCACAUCUUGACGGUACCUAAUCAGAAAGCCACGGCUAACUACGUG
rnacentral:rRNA from 1 species